rnacentral:lncRNA from 1 species
UAGGAAUAUGUUGAGGACAAUAAAAUGUACUUUGGCACUGUUGUGGUAAGUAACCUUAUGUAUGUAAACUGCAUGGAAAACAAUUUUUCUCAAUAAACAGUAAUAACAGUAAUGCUAAUUAACAAUAGGUGAUGGUGUGGUUACAAUUAAGAUUCCCACAACUGAUCCCAGCAAUUUGGAAGACUGAGAAGGAUUCCAAGGCGAGGCCAGUCUGGGCAAUUCAUCAAGAUCCUAUCUUAAAAUAAAAUCAAAAGUGCUAGAGCACUUGCUUAACAUGUGCAACCCUGUUUUCUAUCCCCAGUACCACACACACAUACGAUUCCCAUAUCUGUGAAUAGACAGAUUCUAUUCCUCUCUUUCAGAGGCUUGCAAACUAACUUGCCAAAUCAUGACAUGGAUAAUAUGAACAAUACUUUCAGAUUCAUUUGAGUAGUAAUUAUGUUAUAAUAAAUGGUAAGUAUAAGUUCAAACUUUCUAAUAUUAGGAGCAGGAAUUUAUGAAAUGUGACUAGGAAAUAUUAUGGUAAAUAAGACUAGUUUCUAAGUUGAGAAAUUAUAUUUCUUUUUUUUUGGUGGGGGAGGGGGUAUUGGGGAUUGAACUCAGAGGCACUCAGCCACUGAGCCACAUCCCCAGCCCUAUUUUGUAUUUUAUUUAGAAACAAGGUGUCAAUGAGUUGCUUAGUACCUCACUUUUUGCUGAGGCUGGCUUUGGGCCCUCAAUCCUCCUGCAUCAGCCUUUCAAGUCUCCGGGAGUACAGGCAUGUACCACCGCACCUGGCGAGAAAUUAUAUUUCUGAUUAAAGGUUAGGUGUGGCUGGCCUGGUGCUGUGUUGCAUGCCUGUUGUCCCAGUGGCUCAGGAGGCUGAGGCAGGAAAAUUGAGAGUUCAAAACCAGCCUCAGCGACUUACUGAGUUCCUAAGAAACUCAGUGUGACCCUGUCUCUAAAUAAAAUACAAAAAAGGAGUGGGGAUGUGCCUCAGUGAUUAAGUGCUCCUGAGUUCAGUCCUUGGCAUAAAAAAAAAAGUUUAGGUGUGGUGUCAUCAGGAAAAUACAAAUGAGAACCAAAUCCACAUUUACUAGAAAGGCUAAAAUGUGAACGAAUUGGCAAUACAAAGUGUUAGUAGAGUGAAACAUCUAGAAUCCUCAAAGACUGUUGGUAGAAGGGCAAAAUGGUAAAAUUGUUUUGGAAGCAGUUUUGUAGUUUCUUGUCAAGUUGACCAUGAUUGUAUUAUAUUUGUCAUGAAUUGUGCUUUAAGAGUAUUUAAUGGCUUAAAAUACAAGUAAUUUCUUUCUUUCAUCUCUUAUGGUUUCUGUGGGUCAGAAGUUGAGACAGGGCACAGUAGAAGGUAGUCUCCGCCACAUCUGGGCAGAGCUGGAAGACUGUGAAGCUGGAGGAAUCGUCAGAGGCUGUUCAUUCACAGGACUAGUAAGUUGAUGUUGGUGUUGGCUGGGGGCCAUCAUCUGAAAUACCCGUAUAUGGAUGUUUCAUGUGACCAGGGCUUCUUCACAGCACAGUGCCUGGGUUUGCUAGGCAGGAUUCCACAGAAAGGAGCAAGAGGAAUGGAAAGAGGGGGCAGGAGAGAGAUCCCUGAAGGCAGGGAUCAUGUGUUACCCAUUUUUAAAUCAUCACAAUGUCUUCAACCUUAUAAGCAAUCCUAUUGUUUGACUAGCACAUUUUUCAAAACAGGUUUGUUAGUCUGUGUUAUGAUUAAUUUUGUGUGUUGGACCACAGUGUCUAUAUAUUGGGUCAAACAUUAUCCUGAUUGUGUCUGUGAAGAUGUUUUUGGAUGACACUAACAUUUAAAUUGGUGAACUAUGUAGUAAAGCAGACUACCCUUUAUAAUGUGGGUCAGCUUCAUGCAAUCACUUAAAGGCCUAAAUAGAACAACACCCCCACCCCCACCCCAGGCCAGAGGGAAAUUCAGGCAUUCCACCAGCACAAGUUUUUUGGGCUUGAAGGACAACACUGGCUCUUUUCUGGGUCUCUAGCCGGCUAGCAUACCCAGGAAAUUUUG